AGUGAACGCUGGCGGUAGGCCUAACACAUGCAAGUCGAACGGCAGCACAGUAAGAGCUUGCUCUUACGGGUGGCGAGUGGCGGACGGGUGAGGAAUACAUCGGAAUCUACUUUUUCGUGGGGGAUAACGUAGGUAAACUUCUCCUAAUACCCCUUACGCCCUACGGGGGAAGCCAGGGGAUCUUCGGACCUUGGUGGAUUGAAUAGGCCGAUGUCGGAUUAGCUAGUUGGCGGGGUAAAGGCCCACCAAGGCGACGAUCCGUAGCUGGUCUGAGAGGAUGAUCAGCCACACUGGAACUGAGACACGGUCCAGACUCCUACGGGAGGCAGCAGUGGGGAAUAUUGGACAAUGGGCGCAAGCCUGAUCCAGCCAUACCGCGUGGGUGAAGAAGGCCUUCGGGUUGUAAAGCCCUUUUGUUGGGAAAGAAAAGCAGCAGGUUAAUACCCCGCUGUUCUGACGGUACCCAAAGAAUAAGCACCGGCUAACUUCGUG
rnacentral:rRNA from 1 species